AAUGUAGAAAAGUUACAUAAACUGGCGUGUUGCGGUGGCAAGGUUAUUAUUAUUUUAAUAGCACACUGUUAAACAUUUUCACAUGUACAAUUUUCGAGUAAAUAAGUCAAAAAUUUGCCGCAGAUGGCACUAACUACUUGGCCGGACAAAUGGGGAGCGCUGAAGGAUCUCACCCGGUACAACGUUUAAGACAACAGGCCUGAACCCUCAGGCCACCCGCCCAGUUGGGCGCGCACCUCGGCUCAGGGCGUCGUUUGAGAGGAAGAAUAUUUGAAAGGAUUAAUCGACCCUAGUGGGUCAAUAGCGAUAAGCGCUGAAUGAGGGAAAUCGUCGACCACGCCGGCGGGGUCGGUAUCGGGGUCUUAUUCCAUGCUUUCACAUAAAAUAUACAUUGCCGGUAUGGAAUUUGAAGUGGCUACGGAAUUUGAGAAGCAGUAAAGCUAUCAUAGCGAUCUGUUUGCAGGAGUAGUAGUAAAAGAGAAUGGGGUUGAACCGGGUACAGCAGUUCUUAUACAAAAUUUCUUUCCAGUGGGCCUUUCUAACCUCUUUCUUCUAAUCCAUGGUAAAAGCAUAUCUUAGGCUCAGGAAAAUCAGCUUAUAAGAGAAAUAGUCGCUCUCAUGGUUUUGUAAAUGUUGGUUUUAACAACCAGACCAGACCAUAAAUCAAUCCAACGCGCAUUGGAGUUCCGAAGCGUGGUGGAGUUUGCUUCAUACAUUCAUACCCCUUAUGUUUAAAGGUUUUUUUUAUUAAGUAAAUUAACUACGUAUGGAAAAAUACAGUCUUGUUAUCUAUGUUUACUUACACAAUUAUCACUUUUUACCAAAUAAUUUAGAAUGUCACCAAAGUCAUCUCAAGAAUCGCGAGGUCCAAAGGUAUAUUAUCAUUAACGUCACUUUAAUUAUUAAAUAUUUACUAAUUUGUGCUAGAUAUAAGUAUUGGUAUGCAGAUUACAUUCCCGGAUAUAAUGACGCACCUAAAUUACUAUAAUGCAGUCAAAGUUAUCAGUAUAAUUCGAUAUUUAUCGUGGAAACGAAUAAUGCAAAUUCAAACCUAUAUAAAAGACAAGAUGUACAAAAGGUAAGGCUAAAAGAGAUCUCUUCCAACCAAUCUUGAAAUUCUGUGUAAUUGGUGAUUUUUACGUAGUCAAAU